GUUGAUAAGGUUAAGUGAAUAAGGGCGCACGGUGGAUGCCUUGGCACUAGGAGCCGAUGAAGGACGGGACUAACACCGAUAUGCUUUGGGGAGCUGUACGUAAGCUAUGAUCCAGAGAUUUCCGAAUGGGGGAACCCAGCAUCUUUUAUAGGAUGUUACGUAUACGUGAAUACAUAGCGUAUACGAGGUAGACGCAGAGAACUGAAACAUCUAAGUACCUGCAGGAAGAGAAAGAAAAUUCGAUUCCCUGAGUAGCGGCGAGCGAAACGGGAAAAGCCCAAACCAAUGAGCUUGCUCAUUGGGGUUGUAGGACUCCGAUAUGGUAGUUCUUUCAGAUAGUCGAAUGACUUGGAAAAGUCAGUCAAAGAGGGUGAAAGCCCCGUAGAUGAAAUUUGGAAGGCACCUAGGAGGAUCCUGAGUACGGCGGAACACGAGGAAUUCCGUCGGAAUCCGGGAGGACCAUCUCCCAAGGCUAAAUACUCCCUAGUGACCGAUAGUGAACCAGUACCGUGAGGGAAAGGUGAAAAGCACCCCGGAAGGGGAGUGAAAUAGAACCUGAAACCGUGUGCCUACAACAAGUCAAAGCCCGUUAAUGGGUGAUGGCGUGCCUUUUGUAGAAUGAACCGGCGAGUUACGAUUGCAUGCGAGGUUAAGUUGAAGAGACGGAGCCGUAGCGAAAGCGAGUCUGAAUAGGGCGUUUGAGUAUGUAGUCGUAGACCCGAAACCAUGUGAUCUACCCAUGUCCAGGUUGAAGGUGCGGUAAAACGCACUGGAGGACCGAACCCACGUACGUUGAAAAGUGCGGGGAUGAGGUGUGGGUAGCGGAGAAAUUCCAAACGAACUUGGAGAUAGCUGGUUCUCUCCGAAAUAGCUUUAGGGCUAGCCUCGGAAUUGAGAAUGAUGGAGGUAGAGCACUGUUUGGACUAGGGGCCCAUCUCGGGUUACCGAAUUCAGAUAAACUCCGAAUGCCAUUCAUUCAUAUCCGGGAGUCAGACUGUGAGUGAUAAGAUCC
rnacentral:rRNA from 1 species